AUGCCCAAGCUCAGAGCUUUCAGGACCUAUCGGGCAGCCUCUGCCUGCCUCCCCAGCCCCUGGGCCCCGGCUCCUGCUGUGGCUGGGGCUGGAGACCCAGAGCCGUUUAUUGAGUACAUAUUAUCGGCUGGCACUAUUCUCAGCCUGGGCAGGGACAGGGCCUCUUUCGUGCUGGGGACACCAGCCACCGGGUGCAAGGGCGGAGUGGGAUCUCUGUUGAUGCUGCUUUUCAGCUGCGGACACAGACUCGAACACCCAGGAGCAAAUGCAAGACCAGGCGGAUGUGGACAGCUCAGCCACGGUCCGCACCACCACUGCAGGCAUCUGCACUCCAGGCCUGGAGACCUCCACCAUCAGCGCUACCGGAGACAGGAGAGGCUCCGGCCUCCCCAAGUGGGAGAUGAGAUGGGCAGGACUCAGGGCCUCCCCAGCCAGCUCUGCCCCAGGGACCUCGCUGUCAGCUGAAGCACACUCAGUACCAAGCUCUACCAGAAAAUGGAAUGCAAAACCGGUCCUUUUGCCUCAGGCCAGCCACGCCCACCUCUCCUGGCUCCCUCCCAGGAGAACCUCUGGUAUAGUUUUUAGCACUGGCGAGGAUCAUAGAUAAUAAAGGGAUGUAUAGAUGGACGGUGGUUGGCUGAUUUGUUGAUGGAUGAAUAGAUAUGCAAAUGGGUGGAUGAUAGAUAAUUGGAUGGAGGAAUGCUGGAUUAGUGAGUAGACAGACAGCUGGUGGAUAACAGAUCCAUGGGCAAGUAGAAGGGGG
rnacentral:lncRNA from 1 species